AGAGAGAGACAUGCGCGCAUAUCAAUAAGCGGAGGAAAAGAAACUAACUAGGAUUCCCUCAGUAACGGCGAGUGAAGCGGGAAGAGCUCAAAUUUGAAAUCUUCAAGGUUCUACCUUGACGAAUUGUAGUUUAAAGAAGUGUUUUCUGUUGGAGUUUCGGUAAAAGUUCUUUGGAAUAGGACAUCAUAGAGGGUGAGAAUCCCGUAUUUGACCUUUACUUUCAACUUUGUGAUACACUUUCAAAGAGUCGGAUUGUUUGGGAAUGCAGUCCAAAAUGGGUGGUAAAUUUCAUCUAAAGCUAAAUAUUGGCGAGAGACCGAUAGCGAACAAGUACCGUGAGGGAAAGAUGAAAAGAACUUUGAAAAGAGAGUUAAACAGUACGUGAAAUUGUCAAAAGGGAAGCGUUUGACACCAGUGUUGUUUUUCUGAAAAUCAAUUAAAGAACUGUUUAUGCUAAGUUGUUUAGACUUUAUCAGCUAUCUGUUUAGUUUUGAGCUUUUCUUUAAUGCACUUUUCAGUUAACAAGUCAACAUCAAUUUCUUUUGUUGUAAAAGGGUCAUUGGAAGGUGGCUUUCUUUUCGGAGAAAGUGUUUAUAGCCUUUGGCCUCUGCAAUCGGAGAGAUUGAGGUCUGCAGCGUAGAUCCUUCGGGGUUAGAUACAUUUGUGCUAAGUUAUAGCCUUUCAUAGACAACUUGUUGACUAUGAUCAGUCAUGUAGCUUACUCGCUUAUGCUAUUUUACCUACGCUUAGGAUGUUGAUGUGAUACUGCGAGC
rnacentral:rRNA from 1 species